rnacentral:rRNA from 1 species
UACGUAGGGUGCGAGCGUUGUCCGGAAUUAUUGGGCGUAAAGAGCUCGUAGGCGGUUUGUCGCGUCGACUGUGAAAACUGGGGGCUUAACUCUCAGCUUGCAGUUGAUACGGGCAGACUUGAGUUCGGUAGGGGAGACUGGAAUUCCAGGUGUAGCGGUGAAAUGCGUAGAUAUCCGGAGGAACACCAAAGGCGAAGGCAGCAUCCUGGGAAGUCUCUGACGCUCAGGGACGAAAGCUAGGGGAGCGAACGGG